GGGGACGCAGCUCAGUGGUAGAGCACUGGCCUCGCAUGCACCAGGACCUGGGUUCCAUCCCCAGCACCCCCA
rnacentral:tRNA from 1 species